rnacentral:rRNA from 1 species
AUUGAACGCUGGCGGCAGGCCUAACACAUGCAAGUCGAACGAGUGGCGGACGGGUGAGUAAUGUCUGGGAAACUGCCUGAUGGAGGGGGAUAACUACUGGAAACGGUAGCUAAUACCGCAUACCAUCAGAUGAACCCAUAUGGGAUUAGCUUGUGGGUGGGGUAACGGCUCACCUAGGCGACGAUCCCUAGCUGGUCUGAGAGGAUGAUCAGCCACACUGGGACGGGGACAAGGCCCAGACGCCUACGGGAGGCAGCAGUGGGGAAUAUUGCACAAUGGGCGCAAGCCUGAUGCAGCCAUGCCGCGUAUAUGAAGAAGGCCUUCGGGUUGUAAAGUACUUUCAGUCGGGAGGCGUUACCGGCAGAAGAAGCACCGGCUAACUCCGUGCCAGCAGCCGCGGUAAUUC